UACCCAUAAUAUAUUUGAUAAGGCAUCUUAUUAAUAUUAAAGCUUCGGCACUUGAUGAUGGGUGUGCGGCUGAUUAGAUAGUUGGCGGGGUAACGGCCCACCAAGUCUACGAUCAGUAGCUGAUGUGAGAGCAUGAUCAGCCACACGGGCACUGAGACACGGCCCGACUCCUACGGGAGGCAGCAGUAAGGAAUAUUGGACAAUGGACGAAAGUCUGAUCCAGCCAUGCCGCGUGAAGGAUUAAGGUCCUCUGGAUUGUAAACUUCUUUUAUAUGGGACGAAAAAAGGGCAUUCUUGUUCACUUGACGGUACCAUAUGAAUAAGCACCGGCUAACUCCGUG
rnacentral:rRNA from 1 species